GAUGAACGCUGGCGGCGUGCUUAACACAUGCAAGUCGAACGAAGCAUUUAGGACAGAUUACUUCGGUUUGAAGUGCUUUAUGACUGAGUGGCGGACGGGUGAGUAACGCGUGGGUAACCUGCCUUGUACUGGGGGAUAGCAUCGGGAAACUGCUGGUAAUACCGCAUAAGCGCACAAUGUUGCAUGACAUGGUGUGAAAAACUCCGGUGGUUUAAGAUGGACUCGCGUCUGAUUAGCUAGUUGGUGAGAUAACAGCCCACCAAGGCGUCGACCAGUAGCCGACCUGAGAGGGUGAGCGGAGACACUGGGACUGAGACACGGUGCAGAAUCCUACGGGAGGCAGCAGUGGGGAAUAUUGCAAAACGGAGGAAACUCUGAUGCAGCGACGCCGCGUGAGUGAAGAAGUAAUUCGUUAUGUAAAGCUCUAUAAGCAGGGAAGAUAGUGACGGUACCUGAAGAAGAAGCACCGGCUAAAUACGUG
rnacentral:rRNA from 1 species